rnacentral:rRNA from 1 species
UACGGGGGGAGCAAGCGUUGUUCGGAUUUACUGGGCGUAAAGGGCGCGUAGGCGGCGCCGCAAGUCGACUGUGAAAUCUCCGGGCUUAACCCGGAAAGGUCAGCCGAUACUGCGGGGCUAGAGUGCAGAAGGGGCAACUGGAAUUCUCGGUGUAGCGGUGAAAUGCGUAGAUAUCGAGAGGAACACCUGCGGCGAAGGCGGUUCUCUGGGCAUUACCUGACGCUGAGGAGCGAAAGUGUGGGGAGCGAACAGG